UGUGAUCUCAGGAAGAGAGGAUGCAUGAGGCUGGUGUCCUCGCCUUGUUUUGUGAUCCAGCCUCAAAACCACUUUCAAUGUAUAAAUUAAGUUACUUGACAUUUACGCUAUUCAGGAUGAAGGUGUGUGAGCACUGAGUACAAUUCACCACUCAGCAUUCCCAGAGUCGGUGGUAAGAAGAUGAUGACUGGAAAGUUAAUCUUCCCACAUAAUCCUCCUUGGGGCCCCAGGUGAAGAUUUUCUUGCUCUGCUGUUAGAAGUUGCUCUGUUGACCUCACAAGGGACUGUGCAGGCAACGAUGCUGAGCACAAUAGAAGUGUGCACGCCAAGUACCAAGCUAACUUCUUCUUUUGAUUGCCUAGAUGCAGUUGUUCAGGUUGCCUCGGACAGAAGCUGACAAGGCUUUCUCAGCACCCGAUUCUACACAUUUAUCCUUCAAAGAAGCACAGUUGCCCAAGACAUGCAUGGGGACUUGCUGUUUCUUGUGGUUCAUCAAUUGGGAUGUCUAAUUUUCUACGCAGAAACCACGUUCCCCCGACUCUGAGAACUUUCCACAAAGAUGGGGUAGUUCAUGCUCAACAGUAUUGAGUAGAGCUACAAUGGCUCUACCAUGUGAUCCAAGGAUGGUAUUGACAGCUCCUUGGUAUCCAUGAUACGAAUUACCUGGAUUUAUUUCGUAAUUUCAAAUCCAUGACAUAAAUUACAACUAAGAAGCAUUGUGACCGAAUUAAACCUGGAUAUUGCAUGCACAUCAUGUGAGCUUCCUUUAGAGGGCACUGUUGAUUCUUUGAAACCAUGAGAACAUUUCUUCACAUCCCCUGGUGAGGUUGGCCAAACCUGAAAUCUUACUGGGUUUCAUAUCUACUCAGAAGGAAGUUAGCAUAAAUUACCAGUCCAGUGCUUGGAAUAUGUUGUCCAUUAACAGACAGUUCAGAAGAUAAUUCAGCAUGUUAAUUGUUAAGACAAGUCAUCAAAGCAAUACACACCAUUUUGCGUUUGGUAACACCAACGGGUUUAUUUGCCUUUACAAACUCUUCAAAUGAGAAUUUGCUCUUGUAACUUGAUAUAAAAUUUAAACUCAAUAAUCCAAUCUUUUUGUCUAGAGACAUAAACAACCACAUCCUUAGGAUUCAUCAUCUCAUUCUAGAAAUAGAUAAUAUGUUUGGGGGAGACACCAUAUUUGUAGUCUUAUCAUUCAGAAAUUCAUUAAGACUGCAGAUAUUAUAUAAAAUUUGUCUUUGAAUUUGU